UACGUAGGGGGCGAGCGUUGUCCGGAUUCAUUGGGCGUAAAGCGUGCGCAGGCGGCGCGUUAAGACAGGUGUGAAAGCCCCGAGCUUAACUUGGGAAUUGCGCUUGUGACUGGCGUGCUGGAGUGUGGCAGAGGGAGGUGGAAUUCCACGUGUAGCAGUGAAAUGCGUAGAGAUGUGGAGGAACACCGAUGGCGAAGGCAGCCUCCUGGGCCAGCACUGACGCUCAUGCACGAAAGCGUGGGGAGCAAACAGG
rnacentral:rRNA from 1 species